rnacentral:tRNA from 1 species
GAGGGUAUAGCUCAGUGGUAGAGUGCGUGCUUAGCAUGCAUGAGGUCCUAGGUUCAAUCCCCAGUCCCUCCA